CAAGUUUUCAUCUUCUGGUGUUUUCUCUCCUAUGAUAGAGCUUUUCUUUUCCCUUAUAUCUGCUUGCUGGUCAGCUAGGCCUGGUCCUAUUUGUCGUAGCCAAAUCCACUGUCAAAGGCUUUCCUACUGCAGUUGCCAUGGAGAAAACAGCUUCUCUUGCAAAAAAAUUUGGAGGUAAUAUGCUGGAGUGGAUAGCAUCUUCACAUAGUCUUCAAAGAGAGACAAUCUAAUCAGAAUGUAUCUUUCAUCAAUAAGGCCAAUGGUGGCAUUCCCUUUGAUUGCACAUUGUACUGGAAUUACUUCUCUUAGUUUCUUUAUGUCUAUGAUAUCAUAAGAGAAUUUGCCCAAGAUUGCAUAUUGUAAAUCUUCUUUGAUUAUCAUCUGGUGUAUUUCCUUAGAAUUCCAAGUUAUGUAGGGUUCACCAUCUACAAAAAUAACAGUCUUGGAUGGGAUAUCAAUCUGUUGUGUAUUCUGUACUGCUGUUGGAGGCUUCAAAAGAUUUGCAUAAUUCUGUUCUUUAUCUUUUCCGUUGGGCAUAUCUAAAGGGACGUUUAGGGGUUGUGCACUACUGGUUGGUUGGGUUGUUCAUUUUGAAAGAACUGAUGC